ensembl:lncRNA
AACUGUUUGACUGUUGUAAUUUUCAGGCAAAAACACAUUUAUUCCUUUUUGCAAAAACAUCCUUUGGUCAUUUCAGUCUGCUUUGUGAGAGGAUUCAAUGGGAACAUGAAAGAAGAGUCAAAAGUGCUAGAAAUGUAUUUAAGUCAUCUCUGGACACUGCUGUACAGGACUGGAUGGAUGUGGUGGGGAAUACAUGAGUAAAUCCAAAAUUAUUGUGCAUUUUCAUCUUGUUAAAGAUGCACAAAGACUUGAAUAAGGCAGCUGACAUUAUUCAGACUGAUUUGCCCAAUAAAUCACACAGCUUCCUGAUGGGCAGGAGGGCUUUUUAAACGUGUGUAGUUGGUAUCAAUUCAUUGUAACAUGGCAGGGUUUCAUGAUAAAGGGAUGUGCAGAAAUAAUAAAUAAACAGUGGGCCCUGGCAACAUUACUAGAACAGAAAUUUUCCUGAACAUGACAAUGAUCAGAUGCAAUUAUAUAUACACAGCAUCCUCAGCCUCAAUGCCAACAAUUGCUUGUUAAAAUAUUCCACAGGAGAGUAUGGUGCGCUUCAGGUGCCGCAAAUACCAGAUCAGACUGCCAUACCAUCCCAACCAUGGUGCAAAUGGAUCAAUGGCUGCUGAUGUUGACAUUUAUUAGGCUGUACUGAAGUUCCUGCAUUGAUAUCGACACUCAGAUGCGUCACCCAAGUACCUCAAGAGCCAAUGUGUCAAUAAUUCUGACUGAAUGCAUGCAGCACACUGCAUCACAUGACUCACGGCUGUUUUUUUCAGUUUAUUUUCUCUCCACACUUACUAACUCACUGGAAUUCUGUUUUAUCACGAAACACAUGCAGAGUUCAAAACAUCCAGCUUUAGGCUCCAGUCAGUGCUGUUCGCUGUAAAAGGUCUUUGCUUUCCUUUGAGACAUGGUAAUGGUCGCUUUCUCGUGUCAUAUUCUAUGUCAUGGAGUCUGAUCUGGUCAGAGGCAUGUUGCAACAAAAGAGCCAGAGGGAAAAGAAGGAACGGAAGUGCCUGUGUUUUUAUGGAGAUGAAAAAAUGGCUGUGGAACAGUAUUUGGGCUCUAAAGUCACAAAAAAUUUUUUUAAAUGCUGCUUUUUCUUUGGAUUUUCCAGUUCAGCAC